rnacentral:rRNA from 1 species
UUGGUUAAGUUAGAAAGGGCGCACGGUGGAUGCCUUGGCACUAGGAGCCGAAGAAGGACGGGACUAACACCGAUAUGCUUUGGGGAGCUGUACGUAAGCGUUGAUCCAGAGAUUUCCGAAUGGGGGAACCCACUAUCUUUAGUCGGAUAGUAUCCUUACGUGAAUACAUAGCGUGAGGAAGGCAGACCCAGGGAACUGAAACAUCUAAGUACCUGGAGGAAGAGAAAGAAAAAUCGAUUUCCUGAGUAGCGGCGAGCGAAACGGAAAGAGCCCAAACCAAGAAGCUUGCUUCUUGGGGUUGUAGGACACUCUAUACGGAGUUACAAAAGAAAGUUAUAAAUGAAGCGGUCUGGAAAGGCCCGCCAAAGACGGUAACAGCCCGGUAGUUGAAAUGGCUUUCCCUCCAGAGUGGAUCCUGAGUACGGCGGAACACGUGAAAUUCCGUCGGAAUCCGGGAGGACCAUCUCCCAAGGCUAAAUACUCCCUAGUGACCGAUAGUGAACCAGUACCGUGAGGGAAAGGUGAAAAGCACCCCGGAAGGGGAGUGAAACAGUUCCUGAAACCGUGUGCCUACAAGUAGUUAGAGCCCGUUAAUGGGUGAUAGCGUGCCUUUUGUAGAAUGAACCGGCGAGUUACGAUUUGUUGCAAGGUUAAGCGGAAAAAGCGGAGCCGUAGCGAAAGCGAGUCUGAAUAGGGCGCAUAAGUAACAGGUCGUAGACCCGAAACCAGGUGAUCUACCCAUGUCCAGGAUGAAGGUAAGGUAAUACUUACUGGAGGUCCGAACCCACGCACGUUGAAAAGUGCGGGGAUGAGGUGUGGGUAGCGGAGAAAUUCCAAUCGAACUUGGAGAUAGCUGGUUCUCUCCGAAAUAGCUUUAGGGCUAGCCUCGAGGUAAAGAGUCAUGGAGGUAGAGCACUGUUUGGACUAGGGGCCCUUCUCGGGUUACCGAAUUCAGAUAAACUCCGAAUGCCAUGUACUUAUACUCGGGAGUCAGACUGCGAGUGAUAAGAUCCGUAGUCGAAAGGGAAACAGCCCAGACCACCAGUUAAGGUCCCCAAAUAUAUGUUAAGUGGAAAAGGAUGUGGGGUUGCUUAGACAACCAGGAUGUUGGCUUAGAAGCAGCCACCAUUGAAAGAGUGCGUAAUAGCUCACUGGUCGAGUGACCCCGCGCCGAAAAUGUACCGGGGCUAAACAUAUUACCGAAACUGUGGAUGAACCUCUUUAGAGGUUCGUGGUAGGAGAGCGUUCUAAGGGCGGUGAAGUCAGACCGGAAGGACUGGUGGAGCGCUUAGAAGUGAGAAUGCCGGUAUGAGUAGCGAAAGAAGGGUGAGAAUCCCUUCCACCGAAUAUCUAAGGUUUCCUGAGGAAGGCUCGUCCGCUCAGGGUUAGUCGGGACCUAAGCCGAGGCCGAUAGGCGUAGGCGAUGGACAACAGGUAGAGAUUCCUGUACCAGUGCUAAUUGUUUAACCGAUGGGGUGACACAGAAGGAUAGGGAAUCGCACGAAUGGAAAUGUGCGUCCAAGCAGUGAGUGUGAGAAGUAGGCAAAUCCGCUUCUCGCGAAGCAUGAGCUGUGAUGGGGAAGGAAAUUAAGUACGGAAGUUCCUGAUUUCACGCUGUCAAGAAAAGCCUCUAGGAAGAGUAGUACUGCCCGUACCGCAAACCGACACAGGUAGAUGAGGAGAGAAUCCUAAGGUGAGCGAGAGAACUCUCGUUAAGGAACUCGGCAAAAUGACCCCGUAACUUCGGGAGAAGGGGUGCUCUAUUAGGGUGCAAGCCCGAGAGA